rnacentral:rRNA from 1 species
CCCUUAGAUGUUCUGGGCCGCACGCGCGCUAAACUGAUGCAUUCAACGAGUCUAAAACCUGCUCUGAUAGGGGUGGGUAAUCUUUUGAAUGUGCAUCGUGAUUGGGAUAGAUGAUUGCAAUUUUUCAUCUUCAACGAGGAAUGCCUAGUAAACGCAAGUCAUCAGCUUGCAUUGAUUACGUCCCUGCCCUUUGUACACACCGCCCGUCGCUCCUACCGAUUGAAUGAUCCGAUGAAUAUCAUGGAUUGAGGAUGCAAGUAGGUUAGCCUAUCUUCAUCUUCGAGAAGUGAAGUAAAUCUUAUCAUUUAGAGGAAGGAGAAGUCGUAACA